UUUCCGUUGAUAUUUUAGGACGAAAACAAGUAAGACUCGUCUAAACUCCUUCGCUUGCUCCUACUCGCCCUUACCUCCGUCUUUGUGUUCUCCUUCAAAUCUCGAUCGAAACGUCUCUUUUUUGGUCUCGAUUGGAGUUACCAUUGAAACUUUACGAUAAAAAAAAAACGCAAAGACUAGUUUUCUCGUGUGGAUUCAGAUUAAUCGUAUAAUACGGCAACGGUUAACUUAACACCU
rnacentral:lncRNA from 1 species